UAUUUGUCUUGUGUGUAGUGGGGUUGGUAAGAAAGGGUGGAGGAAGAGGUUUAAGGAUUGUGUGGGUCUUGUUCAGCAUUCGAUUACUAUAUCGAACAAGAGGCAGACACAUAGGGCUUAUGGUCAGGUCAUUUGUCGAAUUCUUGGAUGGGAUAUUAAUAGGCUUCCAUCCAUUGUUUUGUCCGCUGGUGGUAAGCCUAGUGAAUCUUCUGAUAAACCGGUGGAGGCUCAGGGGAAUAAGGAUGCUGGUGGUAAAGAUGAUACGAGUGGUCUAAGCAAUACAACAGAUGCUGUAAAUAUUGGCAGUGAUGAAUUAUCUCAACAAAAACAGUCUUUUAGUAAUGAAAACCAACAAGAAAAUGGUGGUGGCUCCAGAAAAUUAGAGGGGAAUGAGGG
rnacentral:misc_RNA from 1 species